rfam:Schistosoma mattheei strain Denwood, Zambia genome assembly, scaffold: SMTD_scaffold0002713
AUCCAGCUGAAGAGUCCAAAAUAGGACGAAACGAGAGUACUGGCU